CUCUGUUAAGGGCAAACCCGCCGAAAGGCGGGGGCGCAAAGCCACGGGCCUAAGGCUUUUAAGGGCUAUGGCAGCCGGGUUGCCGGU
rfam:Thermanaeromonas toyohensis ToBE genome assembly, chromosome: I